UACGAAGGGGGCUAGCGUUGUUCGGAUUUACUGGGCGUAAAGCGCACGUAGGCGGAUUGGUCAGUUAGGGGUGAAAUCCUGGAGCUCAACUCCAGAACUGCCUUUAAUACUGCCAGUCUCGAGUCCGGAAGAGGUAAGUGGAACUCCUAGUGUAGAGGUGGAAGUUCGUAGAUAUUAGGAAGAACACCAGUGGCGAAGGCGGCUUACUGGUCCGGUUC
rnacentral:rRNA from 1 species